rnacentral:piRNA from 1 species
AGAAGCGAAGAUACACCCAACUG